GGGCGCCCUCCCCACCCCCACGAGGGCCGCGGCCGUGGGGCGCUGGUAGCUCUCCCGCCCCUCCGCCCUGCACCCCUCCCGCCCUAGGGCUCUUUCCUGGACUGCGGCUGCAGCCUUCUCUUCCCGGAGGGCUCAGAGUUCGUCCCCUUUUCGCGAUUGGGAACGUGGACACGCCGGAGCCUGGAUGCAGAAGGGCGCGCGGGAACAGGGAGCUGGUGCGCGAGCCGCAGCCCAGCGUCCAGGCCGCCCCACUCUCUGCUGAUCCAAAGGACUAGGGAAACCCUGCGCGCCGACGGUGGCCUGGACGUUGGCGCGGGCCCUGGCGCUAAAAAACGGAUCCCAUUUCCAGAAAGGCGGGCCGGGUAUCCCGCUCCUGCCUCCUGGAGAAUUAGCUCGGCGGAGGUCGACCAGCCGGGUAGGGAGGGAGGGAUGGAGGGACAGGCCUAGGGUCGACCAGCCGGAUAGGGAGUAGCUUCUGGGAGCUCCCUUGCCUACGGAGGGCCGGUGAGGCUGCCCUCAGAGCGCCGCCAGGUACGUGCUUUUUCCUUGUUUCCCGCGCGCCCAGAGCACACUCUGGGGAGGGAAGGAAUAAAAACCCAGCUGGUGUGUAGGAGAUUUUCGCACCAAACGUGUCUUUCUGAGGGGUCCUGGGACGGUAGCCGAACUCGGGGUAGCCUCCUGAGCUGUAUUCUGGAAUCCCUACUGGGCUCUCCACCACCCGUAAGACGGGCUUGGAGCCAGUUCCUGUGGAAAUGCGCGUCACUUUCUUCAGAGGCCCACGAAAUUCAUCCAGGACUCCAUGGGUACUACAGCAAGAUGGCUCUGUUUCGAAGUGGUUCAUACAGUUAUCCCCCAACCCGGAAACCUAGAAUUCUCGUUUUCUGAACCGGGAUGUUUACUUUAGGGAAACCUGGUCUUGGCUUCUGCUGCGCGCCGGGUGUCUAGGAACGAAUCCCUCCUGGAUCCGGGAACCCCAGAUUUGCGGGGUUAGGAGAUACCCUCAGAGUUGUGGUUUUUUGUUGGUGGUGGUUUGUUAAGAGCCUGGUAGCUGAACUGGAGCGGGCCCCGUCCCCUCCCCCAUACCCACUUCAAACAAAAGAGCUCCUCCGAGAAUAUUUUUUAAGGGGAAAGCGCUUCUGAAUGUGGACCCUCAGUUCUCCCCGCCCCCCGUUCCGAGGAAGGACAAGGGUUUUAUAUGUGUGUUUAAAACAAAGGCGAAGCUAGACGCGAGUUGCCGGGAAAGGGCCGCUUUUAUUUUAAAGUUCUUGAAGAAUUCACUUUCUUUUCUCCCAAGUUAGCUGCAGCUGAGCCAGAAGCGUCCCCACUGGCUUACCCGAUAGUGGGAUUUUACACGGUGUCGGCUAAGGGUGGCUUUGUGAGAAGACCAUUUCAGAAGAAGAAACGGGGCUCUGGCUGGUGGGGUAGAAACCCCUAUGGAAUGAAAAGUACUCCCAGUCUCUUUGAGGAAGAUUGCAAAGUAAGUUGGGGUGAGGAAGAGUGUGACUUCCCUACCCAGAGUCUGGUUGAGCACGGAUCCCGCCGAGGAGAGAAGGGUCCCGGCCGGGGGGAAGGUCCCUCUUUCUGGGACAAAGCGAUCCUUAAUUGUGGCCACCUUCCAAAGUCCGGGGCGAAUUCGCUACGCGCGUCUGCCCGGGCGGCGCUUGGUGGGUAGUCCCGCUUCCACCAAAACUCUGUGUUUCCUUUCUCUCAAAAUAAAACUCAACAAGCCAUAAAGCUUCCGACGCCGGUGGAGAAGGCGCCGCGGAUUUAUGGCCCCUGAAUUCCCUACUCUCUAAUUAUCCUUGUUUUUACUUGACUUAUGGGUAGUGACCAAUAAAAUCAUUUUCCAUUUUG
rnacentral:lncRNA from 1 species